UUACCCAUAACUGGGGAAUAGCCUUCCGAAAGGGAGAAUAAUACCCCAUAACAUUUCGAUGUGGCAUCACAUUGUUCUUAAAGCUUCGGCGGUUAUGGAUGGGCAUGCGUUCUAUUAGUUUGUUGGUGAGGUAACGGCUCACCAAGACUACGAUAGAGUAGGGGGCCUGAGAGGGUUAUCCCCCACACUGGUACUGAGACACGGACCAGACUCCUACGGGAGGCAGCAGUGAGGAAUAUUGGUCAAUGGACGAAAGUCUGAACCAGCCAUGCCGCGUGCAGGAUGAAUGCCCUAUGGGUUGUAAACUGCUUUUAUGUAGGAAUAAACCCCCUCUCGUGAGAGGGGCUGAAGGUACUACAAGAAUAAGGACCGGCUAACUCCGUG
rnacentral:rRNA from 1 species